GGAAAGGUAAAAAAACGUAACAAGGUCUCCGUUGGUGAACCAGCGGAGGGAUCAUUACCGAGUUUACAACUCCCAAACCCCAAUGUGAACGUUACCAAUCUGUUGCCUCGGCGGGAUUCUCUUGCCCCGGGCGCGUCGCAGCCCCGGAUCCCAUGGCGCCCGCCGGAGGACCAACUCCAAACUCUUUUUUUCUCUCCGUCGCGGCUCCCGUCGCGGCUCUGUUUUAUUUUUGCUCUGAGCCUUUCUCGGCGACCCUAGCGGGCGUCUCGAAAAUGAAUCAAAACUUUCAACAACGGAUCUCUUGGUUCUGGCAUCGAUGAAGAACGCAGCGAAAUGCGAUAAGUAAUGUGAAUUGCAGAAUUCAGUGAAUCAUCGAAUCUUUGAACGCACAUUGCGCCCGCCAGUAUUCUGGCGGGCAUGCCUGUCCGAGCGUCAUUUCAACCCUCGAACCCCUCCGGGGGGUCGGCGUUGGGGAUCGGCCCCUCACCGGGCCGCCCCCGAAAUACAGUGGCGGUCUCGCCGCAGCCUCUCCUGCGCAGUAGUUUGCACACUCGCACCAGGGGGCGCGGCGCGGCCACAGCCGUAAAACACCCCAAACUUCUGAAAUGUUGACCUCGGAUCAGGUAGGAAUACCCGCUGAACUUAAGCAUAUCAAAAGGCCGGAAGGA
rnacentral:rRNA from 1 species